rnacentral:rRNA from 1 species
UACGUAGGGGGCAAGCGUUGUCCGGAUUUAUUGGGCGUAAAGAGCUCGUAGGCGGCUCAGUAAGUCGGGUGUGAAAACUCCAGGCUCAACCUGGAGACGCCACCUGAUACUGCUGUGGCUAGAGUCCGGUAGGGGAGCAUGGAAUUCCUGGUGUAGCGGUGAAAUGCGCAGAUAUCAGGAGGAACACCAGUGGCGAAGGCGGUGCUCUGGGCCGGAACUGACGCUGAGGAGCGAAAGCGUGGGGAGCGAACAGG